AGAGUUUGAUCAUGGCUCAGGAUGAACGCUAGCGAUAGGCCUAACACAUGCAAGUCGAGGGGCAUCACAAAGAGUAGCAAUACUUUUGGUGGCGACCGGCGGAUGGGUGAGUAACACGUAUGCAACCUACCUUCUACAUUGGGAUAACCCGUUGAAAGACGGACUAAUACCGAAUAAUACAGGGGCGCCACAUGGUGAUAUUUGUUAAAGUUUCGAGCAAUCGAUUCGGUAGAAGAUGGGCAUGCGUAUGAUUAGCUAGUUGGUGAGGUAACGGCUCACCAAGGCAACGAUCAUUAGGGGUUCUGAGAGGAAGGUCCCCCACACUGGUACUGAGACACGGACCAGACUCCUACGGGAGGCAGCAGUGAGGAAUAUUGGUCAAUGGGCGCGAGCCUGAACCAGCCAAGUCGCGUGAAGGAAGACUGUCCUAUGGAUUGUAAACUUCUUUUGUACAGGAAUAAAGUGUUCUACGUGUAGGAUUUUGCAUGUACUGUACGAAUAAGGAUCGGCUAACUCCGUGCCAGCAGCCGCGGUAAUACGGAGGAUCCGAGCGUUAUCCGGAUUUAUUGGGUUUAAAGGGUGCGUAGGUGGACUGAUAAGUCAGUGGUGAAAGUUUGCAGCUUAACUGUAAAAUUGCCGUUGAAACUGUUGGUCUUGAGUGCAAAUGAGGUAGGCGGAAUGUGUUGUGUAGCGGUGAAAUGCUUAGAUAUAACACAGAACACCGAUUGCGAAGGCAGCUUACUGGGAUGCAACUGACACUGAUGCACGAAGGCGUGGGGAUCAAACAGGAUUAGAUACCCCGGUAGU
rnacentral:rRNA from 1 species